rnacentral:rRNA from 1 species
AAUGCAAGUCGAACGAGAUUUCGGAUCUAGUGGCGCACGGGUAGUACGCGUGGAACCUACCUUUUAGCACGGGACAACGUUUGGAAACGAACGCUAAUACCGUAUACGCCCUCCGGGGGAAAGGUCAGCCGCUGAAAGAGGGGCCCGCAUCUGAUUAGCUUGUUGGUAAGGUAAUGGCUUACCAAGGCUACGAUCAGUAGCUGGUCUGAGAGGAUGAUCAGCCACACUGGGACUGAGACACGGCCCAGACUCCUACGGGAGGCAGCAGUGGGGAAUAUUGGACAAUGGAGGCAACUCUGAUCCAGCAAUGCCGCGUGUGUGACGAAGGCCCUAGGGUUGUAAAGCACUUUCAACGGUGAAGAUGAUGACGGUAGCCGUAGAAGAAGCCCCGGCUAACUUCGUGCCAGCAGCCGCGGUAAUACGAAGGGGGCGAGCGUUAUUCGGAAUUAUUUGGGCGUCAAGGGCUCGCAGGCUGGUUGAACAGUUAGACGUGAAAUCCCCGGGCUCUACCUGGGAACUGCGUCUAGUACUAGUAAGCUAGAGAGAUAUAGAGGAAAGUGGAACCUCCCCGUGUAGAGGUGAAUCCGUAGAUAUGGGAAGACCGCAGUGGCGGAAGCGACUUCAUGGGUAUUACUGACCAGUAGAGGAAACGUGGGAGCAAGCGGAUGAUGCCUGUAGUCACGCAGAAACAGUGUGCAGAGCUGGAGGUCCUCUAGUGACGCACACGCACAACACCCGCG